rnacentral:misc_RNA from 1 species
CCCACUCCUACGGGAGGCAGCAGUGGGACCCACUCCUACGGGAGGCAGCAGUGGGACUCCUACGGGAGGCAGCAGUGGGGCAGUUGGCUCAGAACGAACGCUGGCGGCUGGCUCAGAACGAACGCUGGCGGCCCCACUCCUACGGGAGGCAGCAGUGGGACUCCUACGGGAGGCAGCAGUGGGACUCCUACGGGAGGCAGCAGUGGGACUCCUACGGGAGGCAGCAGUGGG